UUUCAGCAAGAAGCGUGGAGCAGCGGAUCAAGCGCUUGGCCAUGAUUCCAGUCUGGGAAAUGCCUUGAGAGAUCUUCAUCUCAGCUGUGUUAGCUAAGCAAGGUGAAGCAGGUGAAGUACAGGGUUUCCAUGAGGAAGGCAGUGAUUAGUUCUGGAUUCUGCUCUCCAGUCUGCAAAAUCCCUGAUACUGCAAGUGAGUGCGUGACCUGCCUGUCUGGGUGGAAGUGGUGCACUUGGUCUGAAAAGUCAUUCGACAGAAAGUGAUGCAGCUGCAGAGGCUGCCUCUGACACCUCUGCUACUGAUGCAGGAAGUUAGCUUUGAACAUUUCUGAAGGAGAAAUGAACCAUCACUUGUUCUAAAUAAUUGGUCACUCUUGUCCAACUCUGUAACUCUUGAAUAGGAAAAAAUAGGUACAAUAUUUUUAUCAUGUACCGCUUGUGAGACGAUGUUCCAAAGAAAGAUGUGCUGCUCUCCUUUCAAACAUGAAUAUUCUCUGUGGAAGCCUCCUGCUACCUGGGGUGCAGGUCUGCUUUGAAAGUUACACUGCUGGGCACUAAAGGGAACUGAGCAAAGUUCGCUCUUUGUGUUUCAGGUUCUUUUGUCUCCAACAGGAAAGGCUGUAACUGGAAUAUAAAUAAAACCAUUUUUUCCCCUGAAAUGAAAUGUAGACAGCUUUGGCUAUCUGGCAGUAAUUCACUUUCUGAGUUUCCACCUGUAAGUGAUCUAACUCUUAACUGUUAAACAAGAACCUUUCUAUUCAACAGAAAUACACCUUAUAUUCAUGAUUUCUUAACUGGCACUUAGAAUACUUGUGACAUUUGGGUUUUUUUUUUCCUUCUAAUUACAGGUUCUAAAAUUACACCUAUGAACAAGAGUGAGUGUACUGUUGUUUUCUAAAAUGAGGUAAUUUUUUCUCGUUUUGGCUUUGAGUACAGCUCCACAAACAGUUGCAUCAGCACUACUGAUGAGUAAACUAGCAAAAUGGUAGAAACAAUUGCAUGAGAAAGGACAGGAAUUACUUGGGCUUUGCUACUGGAAAAGAUUGUAAUGUAGAACCAUUUAUCAUGUUAAACUGCAGUAAUUUAUUUAAAUGUAUCUAAAAAUUAUUCAUAGUUUCUGCAUGAUAUUUUCAUAGAAGUGAUGUGUAAGAACAGAUACCUUACAUAAGUAAAUUGAUUUUUUUUUUUUUUUUGCUGGAAGCAAUCAUUUAUUUGUAUGUGCUUAUGGUGUUUUUAGAAACACUUUGAGAAGUGGUAUGCUUUUUGAUUAGACAAAAUCUGAAGAUUUCUAAGUGUGUUCUUCUUUAGUAUUAGAAAUGCAAACUGCAUCUGGAAGACUCUAGAAGAGCAGUAACAUCCUAAAUGUUGUAAUAAGUUCUGUGGUCAUGAAAGAAAGGUAUUUUUAAAUUAAUCAGUGGAGUAGACCAUUUGGAAUCAACUGGAGACAAGCUGCUGGCUGAUCUCACUUGAAGGAAAAAUUAGGAUGUUAUCAGAGCCAGUCUGUGGCAAGAUUUGUCCCUUUAGACAGCUGCUAAUUUCAAUUGCUUUGGGUGAAGUGCAGUUACACUUUCUUAUGAGUCAUUAGAAUUAAAGGAAUGUAAUCUUAGAAGUCCUGAUUUGUAUUUGCAAUCAAUAACAGCUGUAAUAUUUAUGUUAACAUUACAGUUAAUGCUGUGCUUCCUGGUAUAAGAGCACUUCUCAUAUGUAUUUGAGUCUCUUUUGUUUAGAAACAAAAAAUCAGCACUUGCAAACACUUAAACAAUGCUUGUGCUAGAUUCCAAAAAAGUGGAACCAAAUUCCCAAAAUAAUAAGACUUAUUCCAUAUUAAAAACUUUUUAAAAUUUUUAUUUUUUCCCAUUCCCAUUUGCUUUUCUUUACACUUUAAUUUUCAGUCAUAGACAGCAAAGUGGUUGUGAGUUUACAGCAGCUCAAUAAAUGAGGUAUCCUUCACUCCUACAUUUCCCUCUUGUUGGCAAUGUCAAGUUUUCUGAAAAUAGUUGUUGGAAGUAGGAGAGUAGGUUGUUUUUAGAAAUUUAUUUUGGUCUAAAUUCCAUGUAUUAAUUUAGUAUCAAAGUAGCAAUUUGUAAGGAGAAUAUUUUUCUCUUACAGGCAUGAGCCACACUGCCAGCCAAUGUUUCUUUAACCUGCUACAUCUGAGAGUGUGUCUGAGGGCUGGUGCGUGUGGCUUUGAUGACACAAGGUGUUGUAACCAUUUGGGUGCAUUCUGGGUGUGCUUUUAUGAAGCAGAAACUUUUGUAGUAGACAGCACUGAAAUUGCACCAUGCAACUUGUAAUUACUGGGUAGAGUGUUCAGGAAGCAAUCCCUGUAACAUAAUGUAAAAUAAUGCUCUUCUAUCUGUUCAAAAGUCCAGGAGAGUGCUGUUUCACUCCUUAAAAAUACUGAGUGGCCUGGAGGUCACUUGGGUGCCUCAGGCCACUUGGCGCAUAAAAAUAAAGCCUUUUUUAAAAACACACCUAAAAAUAGAUUUGAAGUCUAUUUUUAAUCUGGAAAUCUGCUUUCUGAUCUGUAAUGUUAAAUGAAACUUGCAGGACACUUGGGGUUAGGAUGUAGGAUUCUCUACCUAUUCACUGCUGCUUUUUGACUGGGGUUUUCCUGAGCUUUCCAUGAAAGCAUCUGUAAGGAGGAUGAAGAGAAAUGCACAUUGGUUUAGCCUUUCCUGGGUUCCUGCUGUCAGAAAAUGUGACCACUGCUUGUGCAGGGAGAUAGAUGAGACCAAGCUACCAGCUUGUGUUGGGUGCACAGCUUUUCCUUUCUCUGAAACCCGGGCAGCUGUGGGGCUGCUGCUGCUGCCACAGCUCUGGGUUUGAGUGCCCAGCCCUCAGCACUCUUAGGCUUGAGGAAAGGGCAUCUCAUUCUUCUGUGUUCUCUCCCUUGCCUCCUUAUGAGCAUGCAAAAUGCAGCAGAACUGACACCCUUCUCCGCAAGGAAAUGCUACUCAGUUGAAAGUGAGGACAAUUUUCUGAGCUGUUUAGGGUUCUAAAGGUCUAGCAUUGGAUUUAAGCCAUGCUGGACUUGAAAUAACUGGUCAUAUUAAAAGGGAAGGGAAGAUGUCUUCUGGUUUUGCUCUACACUGUCUUUCAUGUUCUUUUCCUUCCAUUUAUCUUCCAUCUUUUAUUCAUGCAGUUGUGUUUAAAAAUAUAUAAUUUGUUGACUAUUGUUUUGGGGAUGUUGCCAGGUAUGGCUGUGGAUUUAGGGAUUUGAUCUAUUUAAGUACUAUUUAAGUCAAUUGAAUGUAAUGACUCCACUAGCUCUUAAUGGAGAUAAAUUGAAUUCUUUGCAGAGUUUGCAAGGGCUGCCAAAGGUAUCUCAGUGUUUUAAUUUCUGUAUAUUUGUGUAUAAUACUUGGGAGACAAAAUAUUACGAUUUCAAAAUACAAAAUUCUUAUUUUCUUCUAUCUGUUUAGUUAAAAUAUGUAAGGUAUCAACCAUAGCAAACCCUGUUAAGAAAAAGUUGACACAGUCUAAAGUCCAGCUAUUGCCAACAUAGUUUGCCCUCUGCACUGUACUUUAAUGGUCUUUAAUUAUGUGAUAAGAUUUAAAACCAGAUACGCCUCACAUUUUUUUCAUCAACCACAGGUGAUGUGUAAUACUAUUCUCUCUCUGUGUUUGACAGUAGAAGAAAAGAAUGUCCUUGCCUUUAUUACAGUUUUAAUGAAUGCUAGGAAAUUAUAAACCAUUUGCAUUAGUUACUGUGAAUUUAAUGUGUCGUUAAGGUGUCAAGAGAGUUUAGUUGGUCGACUCCAGUGCCUGUGAAUUAAACAGUGAUAAUGAGACAAUUGCUUAGAGUUAAGUUAUGGUAUUAAUUAUUUAGCUGACUUGUGAUUAAUAUAUUACUGAAAAGAAAAAACUUUAUACAUUUGGAAACAAGUUUUAUGUCAGCUUCCAAUGUCAGCUUCCAAUUUACUAACAGUGACUAAAACAAAUAAAUAAUAUAAAUAAUUUCCAAAAAGAAACCUUACAUGUGAUUUCAUACUCUUUUUAGAACAUUGAAGAAAAAAUCAUUGUCUUCUUGAUUGUACAUUUAUUUUGGAGGACUGGUACAAUUAUAAAUACAAGCAAUUGUUAAGUAGCUAAUACUCAAGCCAAGAGGUUGUAUAAGUCUUGAUGAUGAUGAUGAUUAUUAUUAUCAUUACUAUUAUUUAAUUGAUGAAUUGUUUGUAACUGUAAUCACCUUUAAAGAGUACUGUACACAGAAAAGAAAAACCAGGUUGGCUCCAAGUGAAACUGAGGAUUGCAUAUGUGUGGACACAGUGUGGCCAGAACUCUCCUGACCUGGCACUGCAGAAGGUGGCGUUGGACUGCAGUGUUUUGGUCUGUGUAUGUGCAGCUACAGUUGUCCAACAUACCUUUAAUUGUAAAGUUUCCACUUUUGGUGGUGAGAUUCCUGUUUCUGAAAUUUACUGGAGCAUAAUUUCCAAACAGAAGAAGAGGACAUCUCCACAGGCACUCCAGAUGUGUAAUGUCCCUUAUUCAGCAAAUCAGAUGAACAGGUGCUGAAAUGUUGGUUCUUUGAGCAGUUCCAGUGGAGUUAUCACAGAAAAAAUGUGUAUAUUUGCAACUAAAUAAAAGGAAAUAGACAACACCGAAAAAAACCACAACCAAGAUGUUCUAAUUUGUGCAUAUCACAAUGCAAUUUUUCUGCAAUUUAUUCAGUUAGACAAUAUAUUUGGUGCAAUUCACAAAAUGACUGUUCAAAUCCAUUUAUCAUGUUUGCAUGAUAAUUUUCAUGGUGAAACUCUUCCACCUUAGCUUUUUUUAAUCUAUCUAUCUAUCUAUCUAUCUAUCUAUCUAUCUAUCUAUCUAUCUAUCUAUCUAUCUAUCUACCUAUCUACCUAUCUACCUAUCUACCUAUCUAUCUACCUAUCUAUCUACCUAUCUACCUAUCUCUAUAUAUCUGACAUACAGAAUUAGGAUUAAUUUUGUAUUUUCUUUAUUUUUAGGUGUUCUUGGGUUUUGUAGUCAAUAUUUUUCUGGUAUUUGUCUAAUCAGUAAGGUAUGGUGUUGAAUAGUAUCAUUGGAAGUAGAAGCCUAAAAAAAAUUCUUCACUUGAUUUGAAAGGCAAGCUUUCUUACUGUACUUUAGCACUGCUGUAUUUAAUGUAGUUUCUUGUCUUUUUGUAUGUUUCUACCAGGACUGUUGCUUUAAAUCUUAGAUUUGAAAUAACACUAUAGAAGAUUUUAUCCUUCCUAUGAUUAGAACUGUACAAAGGAACAUGUCUGUAUGAAUUAAUACACAGAACAAGGCCUUGGGAUGGGAAUCACUACAGCCUCUGAUAUCAGUGGAGACUAACAGUUAAACCCUAGGUAGGAAUCUGUAAUAGUGACAAUGCAAAAUUAGAAAAUAAUCAUAAUAUUAACAAGUAGCUGUGCUAAAAGUGGGGU
ensembl:lncRNA